GCACCAUCAUCAUGAACAACCUGCACAAUAAAAUAAACAUUCAAUAAUCAUUAUCUGCACAAUAAAAUAAACAUUCAAUAAUCAUUAUGUAUGAGACUGGUUAUGAGUUAGGCUUAAUGGUCUAAAAAUCCCCAUCUUUGUGCAAGUUUUAAAUUGUUUUAUACACUUAUAACAUUAUCAAUCUGGUUCAUAAGUUACUGAUGUUAUUUCAAUUAUAUCCAAUGGCUUGGAGUGUGUGCCCGUAUGACAUGGUGCUCAGGCAAACUUUUAACAUGGACAAAAAUAGCGGACUCAAACAAUGGGGCCCUUCCCUGUUAUUGUGACACUUUCUGUUCACUAAUUAUCAUGCAACGAUAAAAGCUAAAAUCAUGCUUAGCCAUGUUGAAAACAUCAAAACACAUGCAUAUAGGAAAUAAGACCCAAAACAUUAUUUGUUUCCCAAGUCACAAUCAAUUUUAAAUUCUAUUAAAGUCUGCUGUCAGCAUCAAAAGGCUGUGUUAUGAAUCCAGCUAAAAGCCUAGAUGAGGUUGCCCAGGAAACUCAAGUUGUAUUACAGAAGAAAUAAAUAAGAAAAAUUAUAAAAAAAAAAAAAAA
rnacentral:misc_RNA from 1 species